UAGCCUUAAAUCUCCUACCAUGGGGGAAGAAGGCGGCGGCCGCAGCUGUGGGACCACUAGGGACCUGCAGAAGCUGAAGCAGCAGGCGAUGGAGUACUACCGGGAGAACGACGUUCCGCGCAGGCUGGAAGAGCUGCUCAACUCCACCUUCUACCUCCAGCCUGCCGACGUCUACGGGCACCUGGCAAACUGCUUUUCUAAACUUGCAAAGCCUCCCACCAUAUGCAAAGUCGUGGGGAAAAAUGUGCUGGAUGGACUGGGGCUUCCAACACUGCAAGUGGAAAUAUUCUGCACCAUUCAAAAUUUUCCCAAGAAUAUAUGUUCUGUGGUGAUCUCAACUCACUUCGAAGUCCACGAGAACGCUUUACCCAAGCUAGUUGAAGCAGAGGAAUUAGAAAGGUCGGAUGCCGUCAGCACCGCGGUGCGGUGGGUCAACGAAACCAUCACUGAGGAGCUUCAGGGCUUAGCUCCUUCCAGCCAGGCUGAGGUGGAUCAGGUGCUCAGGACAUUCUUUGAAAGUAAAGUACAAGAAGAUAAGGAGAGAAAAGAAUUGGAAAAGAGCCUGGAAGACUCCACAGUGCCUACACCUUCACCUCUAACACCACCACUGCCUCCUCCACCUCCAGCCAAAAAAAAAGGACAGAAGCAAGGGAGGAAGGAUACUCUUACAGAAAAACCAAUUGUACCCCCAGAACCUGUUGAACCCAUACUCUGUGGCAGCAUGGCCAUAGGAGCUGUGUCACUGGCUGUUGCCAAAACCAGUGCCGUGCUGGGCAAUAAUCCUCUAUACUUAAAUAUUGCACUGCUGAAGCACCACCAGGAUCAACCAGCAAAGCUAACGAUGCCUCUCCUGAUGGUAUCUCUGGUCAGCUGUGGGAAGUCAUCACCGGGCAAGCUGAAUUUCAUGAAAGAAGUGAUUUGUAUACCCCAUCCUGGAUUAACAGCUAAACAAGGUGUGGACAUGCUUCUGGAAAUUCAGAAACACAUUAACAAAACAAUUGAAAUGUCCCCUCCUCCAAAACCAGAGACAAAAAAAGGUCAUAAUGGAGGCAAAAGAGGUCAACAGCAGAUCACUGGCAAGAUGUCCCAUCUUGGCUGUUUAACCAUUAAUUAUGACACCAUAGAGCAGCCACUGCUCCUAAUACAAGGAAUCUGUGCGAACCUGGGGCUAGAAAUGGGAACGAAUCUCCAUCUAGCCAUCAACUGUGCAGCACAUGAACUGAUGGACUAUAGUAAAGGAAAGUAUGAAGUGAUGAUGGGAACCUACAAAAAUGCAGCUGAGAUGGUUGACCUGUAUGUGGAGCUAAUCAACAAGUUCCCUUCAAUUAUUGCAUUAAUUGAUCCUUUCAGGAAGGAGGACUCUGAACAGUGGGACAGCACCUACAAUGCUCUUGGUUCCAAGUGUUACAUAAUUGCAGGCACCGCCUCCAAAAGCAUCUCUAAACUUCUAGAGGAUGGGAACAUCGGCAUCCUCAGAUGCAGCGGGCUGAUCGUAAAACACACAAAUCAAACUACGAUGUCUGACUUGGUGGAAAUGACCAAUCUUAUCGACAGUAAGAAGCACAUCGCUGUCUUUGGAAGUGCAGAAGGAGAGUCGUCUGAUGACAGCCUUGUCGAUUUGGCCGUUGGACUUGGUGUCCGGUUUAUCAAGUUGGGAGGUCUUUCUCGUGGCGAACGGGUGACUAAGUACAACCGCCUCUUUACUAUAGAGGAAGAACUUGUCCAGAAUGGAACACUGGGUUUCAGUGAAGAACACACAUUUUUCUACUUGAAUGAGGAAGCUGAAAAGGCUGCCAUGGCUGGUGAGCUGCCUGAGCCCCCAGAGCCCAUCUUCGCCACAGAAGUUGUGGAGCAAUCAGCCAAAACAUGAGUGUCCUCCAGACGGGCUGCACACACCCCAGCUGACAACCACACCACUGGUAUUAUUAGACUGGGAGAUCUCAAGUCUUGCAGCUGAAAAGGAAGAUGGGUGAAAAGUGGCAAGAAGCUGAGGACAAACCAGAGCUGCAUCUGUCUUUCACAAUCUCCAAUCCCGAUGUUGCAGAUGAGCGGCAGGAUAAACUGGAGCCCUUCCACAUGGAAUUGCACGUGCACCUGGCCUAAGAUUUGGGGAAGCUGGAGGGGGAGAUGGGGGGAGCUGGAGAAACUGUGGGCCAGCUGUGCCACAUGCCAACUAGGUGGCAACGCACAUGAAUUGUAACAGAGCCUGCCCUAGGCAGACUUCCAGAGCAUAAAAAAAAAAAAUAAAGACUAUCAUGUCACUCCCACUUUCUAAAUCUCGUGCAAAUUUCUCCUGUAGACAACCCUAACCUGGAAACAAAUGGGAAAGGGAAUUCUAGAAAAUGAAGUUCCAAGUUCCAGCCUAGCUAAAGUUGUUAUAGUCAAAGCCACACAAAGUCUGCUGGUCAAGUCCCCAGUGUGGUUCCACAACCCUGGGUCUAAGCCUCAUUGUAUAUAUGCCAGCCAGUCUGCUCUACACAUGCAAAGGAAGUAUCCGUCUCAUUCUAGGUGAGCAACUUCCAUCAACCCAUACUGACCUUCAUCACUUUUGUAGAACUACCAUGGAAGUUUUCAUGCCCAUGUGUGUCUGCAGAUGAAGGGGUGGUAAACACAUCCUAAAAUGCUUUCUUCAUCAGCUGGAGGCUGAAAACUUGCAGGAAGUGCUCUCAGGGCUCCACAACAGCAACAAAUGAUGUUGACUGAACUGAAAACUCAGAAACUUUGUAUUGCCAGGCUGAAACUGUCCUGGAGUUGUCUCAGUCCAGAGAAUUGUUCUUUCCUGAAGUAGGCUUCUCAAUAAUAGAUUAAUCUAUUAUUAAGUCACCUGUACACUCCAAUUUGAGAACACCUUUAUUAUCACUGAACUUGGCACAGUGGAAAACUUCUCUAUGUGUUGAGAAUCAGAGUAACUACUUUCUUGAAGAUAACGACCACUGACUUGGAAUCCCAGUGGCUUAAGGCUGAAAGGGACUAUGGCAAUCAUCUAGUCCAACUGGUCCUUUUACAGAUGAGGAAAAUGAGGUUUGGAGAGAGGGAAAGCCUGACCUAAAAUUAUACAGCUUAUCAGUGGCAGAGCCAGGACAAGAAUCAUAAGCUCCUAUCUUCCUGUUCCUGAUUUUUCCACAACAUCACACAGCUAUUUACCAAAGGCAUCUUCCAAAAACAUGAUAAUGAUGCCACAGGCUAAUUUUGGCAUGUUUACUGAUUCUAUCUGAAUCCCUGUUUUCAGCUUCAUCUUUCAGAACUAUAAAUAUAAAAUCCAUCCCUUCAAGCUACCCCUCGUUUUUUUUUUUUUUUUCCUUUGUGACUUAAAGAUAGCUCUUCCUGGUUUGACAUCAUUAAGUCCAUUCCUGGUUCCCAUGGGGAGCUGCCCAGGGCUCCUUCUGGAAUGAAGGGCCUUCCUCCAUUCCCAUCUCAUGGGAAGAGCCAGAAAGCUCCAUCAGUGACGGUGCCAAGAACCCAGGCUCUUGCUCUAGGCAGCCAUAGUGGCAGGUUCUACAAGGUUACAUCUGAAGCUUCUCCCCCAAGGUAAAAAUCCCAGCUGCUCAAAUGCAACAAUCCAAUAGGAAUUGCCGUAUACUAUUGUUCCGUUCAAUUUUUCCUCUUUAAUUCUUCAUCUAAGAGCAAUGACCACAAAUAAGGAAUUAAAAUUCAGUAUUCAUAAAAAGUACGGCAGACCUUCUCCUGUAUGCUGCAAAAUCUCCAAGUAAGACUUAAAUUUUAUAGGUGACAUAAAGACUAAAAAAUCAUGGAAUGUUCAGUCUGAGAGGGAUUACUGACAUGAACUAGUCCAGCCUUUUCAUUUGUCAGGUGAAGACACCAAACAAGAGUGAGUUACAUGAUUUGUCCAAGGGCACACAAUUUGUUAACAGCAGAUACAGGAUUAAAAUUGUGGACUCUUGACUUCCUGUCCAGUACUUUUUUUUCUUACCACAACAUACUGCUAGUGAUUUUUAACCCAAUCAAACAGAUAUUUUUCGUGGGUCAUUUUAAAUCAUUUGUUAAGUGCUAUUUCAAGACAAAAAGAAAAACCCAAAAGCAAAAUAAAAGCUAGGAGACAAUAUAUCAAUCUAUACCACUCUGUAAAGCCUGAUGCCCAAGUACAACUUGGUUGCUCUUUUAGAAAGCAGUUACUUCUCCCCCAACUGCAAGAGGGCCAGAAGGUAGGGCUGGGGCAGAUGAGGCCACUUGCUGGUAAAAGGAAAAACCUGACUCCAACUGGUACUGGUACCAGAAGAAUCAGAACAGUUGCAAACGGUAUUGCCAAAGUUGAACUUUAUAAUAAAGGGACUCAGUGACUUAUCGGACUGUGUUACAGGAGAUAAAAGUGCAGCAUUCUAAUUUUUAAAAAGCACAUCAUGGUUUGCAUUCAAUGAAAUUCCUUUCAAAAUCAACUUUCCACACUCCAAUUAUAUUCAACAACAUUCUAGCUAACAUUUCAGCUGCAAUUCAAAUUAACUAAUGCCCAAAAGAGCCCUAAUAGACAUGGUUCUGAGCUCAACUGAAUACAAUCAAAGCUCAUGAAAUGAAGGGGGAAAAUGCUUAUUUCAUGCAAAUUCUGCAUAUCACUCAAGCUUAAUUCUACUGAUAAUAUAAAGGUGGGACAUUUUGAACAUUACAGUGAAUGAAACUUUUAAGCAGUGAGAGUUAUUUUACAAAAUGCUACCUCUGAAAAGCUGAUUGCCAAACAGUGUAAAAAUGGUUUGAGGCAUAAAUGCCAAGUUCAUUUCUGUUUCACUUCUGAGGUAACUAUCUUUCAAAUCGCAACAGCUGGACUAUUUAACACAAUCUGGUGAA